rnacentral:rRNA from 1 species
GAUCCUGGCUCAGGACGAACGCUGGCGGCGCGCCUAACACAUGCAAGUCGAACGAGCGAGAGAAAGCUUGCUUUCUCGAGCGAGUGGCGAACGGGUGAGUAACGCGUGAGGAACCUGCCUCAAAGAGGGGGACAACAGUUGGAAACGACUGCUAAUACCGCAUAAGCCCACAGGUCGGCAUCGACCAGAGGGAAAAGGAGCAAUCCGCUUUGAGAUGGCCUCGCGUCCGAUUAGCUAGUUGG